rnacentral:rRNA from 1 species
GCAAAACGCGAAGAACCUUACCUAGGCUUGACAUGCAUCUCUAAGCGCGUGAAAGCGCGUGACCCUUCGGGGGAUUUGCACAGGUGCUGCAUGGCCGUCGUCAGCUCGUGUCGUGAGAUGUUGGGUUAAGUCCCGCAACGAGCGCAACCCUUGUGAACAGUUGCCAGCACUUAAGGUGGGAACUCUGUUCAGACUGCCCAGAUCAACUGGGAGGAAGGUGGGGACGACGUCAGGUCAGUAUGGCCCUUACGCCUAGGGCUGCACACGUACUACAAUGCCCAGCACAAUGAGAACCGAGACCGCGAGGUGGAGGAAAUCUAAAAAACUGGGCCCAGUUCGGAUUGGAGGCUGCAACUCGCCUCCAUGAAGUUGGAAUCGCUAGUAAUGGCGCAUCAGCUACGGCGCCGUGAAUACGUUCCCGGGUCUUGUACACACCG